GCGGCGGCCGCUGCGGAUCCUGCUACCGGCGCAAUGGAGGGGCGCGAGCGGCCACCAGUAGAGUCUGGUUUAUUCUUUCCAGUCGCUCACGGCGGCUGGUCGAGCUUCUUGGGAAAAAGUGUCGGCACCCCUUGAAAGCGGGUUGAUGACCCGGGCGCUCAGACCCGCUUCCCACCGCGCUGCAGGCACUCCCGAGCCCGCUCCACCCCUGACGAAGCCCGCGACUCUAAGGCACACGAAUAACCACGAUGAAUUCAAAAUGAACAUGAUCUUUAUUAAUCAGAAUGCACUUCUAGCCCACGAAACACAGGUUCCCUAAAUACAGUGUUUCUGCCUAUUUGAUUAACGAUGACUACGAAAGCACAAAUUUGGGGGCCUGCAAUGUAUACAGCCAUAUUGGAAAAGAUUGGACUCGAUUCUUACUGAAAUAACCAGUGUUGGGCUGUGAGGUAUUUUUCUGUGGGAAAUGCUUUGGAAGGUGCCUUUAAAAGAAUCUCAAAAUAUUGCUUUCCUUUCCUUGAGCGAGACCGAAAAACUUUAGAAAAAGAAAAGCUCAUACCUAGAACAAAGGACCACGCUGAAUGCAUAUUCUAGAGCGCAUUUCACAUCCCUCGCGUCAACAAGAAGAAGGUGAGGAGCUUUGAUGCAUUUCAGUCUACAAGUUGACAUCACAAAAUUAUUUCUUGACUAGGAUUUUAGACUCCUCUCCCUCUCUCCCCCACCACCCCAGUUAUUCCUUGACUAGGAUUUCAGACUCUUAAUGGUGGAGAUGGGUCGUGAAUUAUCAAAGGAGUGACCACGUUUGCAAAGAGGAAUGGAGGGACAGGAGGAAAUAACAGCAUUUCUCUCUGAAAGAAUGGAAUGUCAGUUCACACUUGCUCUAGGGUUGAUACGGCAAAGGGUACUAUUUUAUAAAAUCCCACAGUAAACUAGGCAAUGUGUAUAUCAUAAAAAUAAACCGUAUCUCUGCCCUCUUAAGAAUUUGCUCUCUGUUAGAAACAGAACACACGUAUUUGAAUAAAUGGCUCCUUUUUGAUGCUAUAAUUUAAGAGAAAGAAAAAUUGAUUUUGGUUGUCCCCCAGAUAUUACAAACAUUCAAUAACAUUCCCUCUGCUGCCAAUGGUUUAUAAGUGCAAUAUAUUCACAGGUGCCGGAAGCAGCCGUGGUUUCGGAAGGGAGCUAGAGGCAGAACCAGAGUGGAUGCUGAGAGCCCUGUCUGUGACUGUUACAUAUUUCAGCUGCGUAGUCACAUACAUACAAGAUUCCCUGCAUUUAUAACCAAAAUGAUAACAAAUGCUCUCAUUUGGGAUUUUGUUUGAUAGUCAUUAGGAUAUUUUAUAAGUCUUUCCAAGCACAAGGUUCUUCUCUUUUUUUUUUAAAGAGAAAUGUGACAAAUAAGGCAACACAUUUGAAAGUGCUUUGAGUAAUAACAUGACAUUGAAAAUAUCAAAAUGAAUAUUAAAACAAAUGGGAAAAUACUGGAGAUUUUUUAAUCCUCAUGUCCUUUUUCCUGUAUAUAUAGAGUUUUUACAAAGAGCAGUAGGCUUACAAUUUAUAUAAUUUUGCAUCCUGUUCUUUUCACUUAACAUUAUACAAUAUUUUCCCAUAUUAUUAUGCAUCAGCCUAAAUAUCAUUUAAAAGCAACAUAUUAUCCAACACAAUUAAUGUAUAUUAAUGUAAUUAAUCAUCUACUUUGGGGCAUUUGUUUUCAUUUUUUUCAGUAUUAUAAAUAACAUGUCAACGAAUAUCUUGUGUCUAUAGCCUUUUAAAAUUCCCAUUGGGUAAAAACUGAGUACUGGAAUUAGUAGGCUAAAAGAUAUGAAUAUUUAAUACAUUAUUUUUCAAAAAUAUCAUAUUAGUUUACACUGUCACCAGACUGAUUGUCACUUUGGACAUUCUUAUUUUUAAAAAAUCAGAGAUAAGAUGGGUGAAAUGGUAUUCCACUAUUCUUUUU